UAGCGGGUUAAAGUCCCGUCCGGGGAAUUGUCCGUACGCCCCGGUAGCAUGAGGAAGCGGCGUCGUGGUAACACGGGGUCGUAAGUUUCCAAACAGCAAGAGAGCAGGCCGUAACGCAA
rnacentral:ncRNA from 1 species